GAAAUAUGUAUAAAAUAUGUAAAAGGGGGAGAAAUAUGCAUAACAUAUGUAAAAGGAAUCAAUGGAAAUCAAUAAAAAGAUAAACUCUUAAAACACACAAAUUUGUUCUAAGUGGAUUCGGUACCUCGAGGCUCAUUAUCUCUCUUUUGGGGCUCCUAAUGGAGUAAUCUCCAAAAUCUAUUCAAGGAACAUUCGGAGAUUAGCUGAAUCCUACUCAAGAACAAAUUGACAGAUUUUCCCUCUAAAAACCAAAAUUUCAGUUCAAAAACUUCAAAGCAUUAAAAGGAAAUUCAAAGAAUCAAAACAAAGUAGAAUGCAUAUGUUGAGGAGGAGAAUCUGAAAUUUUAACAAAGCUAAAUCAUUAAAGAUAUAUAAGCCAAACAAUUGAUUGCAUAAUAUGAAGGCUUAUAUAAUUCCAAAUGAAAGGGGGAGCUUUAACUCCGAAAUUUACUGUUUCACUCCUUUCAAGCUUGAAUAAAUUGAAUUACCAGACAUUUG
rnacentral:lncRNA from 1 species